rnacentral:rRNA from 1 species
UACGUAGGGUCCAAGCGUUGUCCGGAAUUAUUGGGCGUAAAGGGCUCGUAGGCGGUUGGUCACGUCGGGAGUGAAAACUCAGGGCUCAACCCUGAGCGUGCUUCCGAUACGGGCCGACUAGAGGUAUGCAGGGGAGAACGGAAUUCCCGGUGUAGUGGUGGAAUGCGUAGAUAUCGGGAGGAACACCAGUGGCGAAGGCGGUUGCCUGGGCUUUGGCUGACGCUGAUGCGCGAAAGCGUGGGGAGCGAUCCAG